UGGUGGAGAGUUUGAUCCUGGCUCAGGAUGAACGCUGGCGGCGUGCCUGAUCAAUGCGAGUCGAGCGGGGCGGAAGGAACCGUUGGCUCCCGAUAAGGGAGCGGCGGCACUUUCCGUCCAGCGGCGUCCGGGUGCGUAACGCGUGGGCAACCUACCCGCCGGUGGGGGAUACCCGGCCGAAAGGCCGGCUAAUACCGCAUAGACUUGCCGGGCGAGGGCCCAGGCAAGGAAAGGGGUACGGGCUGCAGUAGGCUGGUGACAGCCGCUGCGAGGCGUGCUCCGGCCGGCGGAGGGGCCUGCGUCCGAUUAGCUAGUUGGUGGGGUAACGGCUCACCAAGGCGAGGAUCGGUAGCCGGUCUGAGAGGAUGUCCGGCCACACUGGGACUGAGACAUGGUCCAGAGCCCUACGGGGUUUAGCAUGAAGGGAUCUUGCGCAAUGGGCGAAGAGCCUGACGCAGCAACGCCGCGUGGAGGAUGACGCCCUGCGGGGUGUAAACUCCUGUUCCCGGGGAAGAAGUACCCGGCAGGGGGACUGCCGAGGAAGACGGUACCUGGGGAGCAAGCGUCGGCGAACUACGUGCCAGCAGCCGCGGUAACACGUAGGACGCGAGCGUUAUCCGGAUUCACUGGGCGUAAAGGGCGUGUAGGCGGCCAGGCGCGUCGGGCGUGAAAGCCCCAGGCUCAACCUGGGGAAGCCGUUCGAUACGGUCUGGCUUGAGGGUCGCAGAGGGCAGCGGAACGUCGGGAGAAGCGGUGAAAUGCGUAGAGCUCCGACGGAACUCCGGUGGGGAAGCCGGCUGCCUGGGCGGCUGCUGACGCUGAGGCGCGAAAGCGUGGGGAGCGAACGGGAUUAGAUACCCCGGUAGUCCACGCCCUAAACGAUGGGCGCUCGGUCAGGGGCGGAUCGACCCGCUCCGGGCCUAAGCUAACGCGUGAAGCGCCCCGCCUGGGGACUACGGCCGCAAGGCUAAAACUCAAAGGAAUUGACGGGGGCCCGCACAAGCAGCGGAGCGUGUGGUUUAAUUCGAUGCAACGCGAAGAACCUUACCUGGGCUUGACAUGCCGGCAGUAGCGACCCGAAAGGGAAGCGACCCGUCGAGGCGGGAACCGGCACAGGUGCUGCAUGGCUGUCGUCAGCUCGUGCCGUGAGGUGUUGGGUUCAGUCCCGCAACGAGCGCAACCCCUGCCGGGUGUUACCUGUGUCACACGGGACUGCCCUCGAAAGAGGGAGGAAGGCGGGGAUGACGUCAAGUCGGCAUGGCCUGGAUGCCCAGGGCUACACACACGCUACAAUGGCCGGGACAAUGGGUUGCGAACCCGCGAGGGGGAGCCAAUCCCACCAAACCCGGUCUCAGUGGGGAUUGCAGGCUGCAACUCGCCUGCAUGAACGCGGAGUUGCUAGUAACCGCCGGUCAGCACACGGCGGUGAAUACGUUCCCGGG
rnacentral:rRNA from 1 species